UACGUAGGGUGCGAGCGUUAAUCGGAAUUACUGGGCGUAAAGCGUGCGCAGGCGGCUUUGCAAGACAGAUGUGAAAUCCCCCGGGCUCAACCUGGGAACUGCAUUUGUGACUGCAUGGCUAGAGUACGGUAGAGGGGGAUGGAAUUCCGCGUGUAGCAGUGAAAUGCGUAGAUAUGCGGAGGAACACCGAUGGCGAAGGCAAUCCCCUGGACCUGUACUGACGCUCAUGCACGAAAGCGUGGGGAGCAAACAGG
rnacentral:rRNA from 1 species